UGGGGAAUUUUGGACAAUGGACGCAAGUCUGAUCCAGCCAUGCCGCGUGCAGGAUGAAGGCCUUCGGGUUGUAAACUGCUUUUGUACGGAGCGAAAAGGUCUGCCCUAAUACGGUGGGCUCAUGACGGUACCGUAAGAAUAAGCACCGGCUAACUACGUGCCAGCAGCCGCGGUAAUACGUAGGGUGCAAGCGUUAAUCGGAAUUACUGGGCGUAAAGCGUGCGCAGGCGGUUAUGCAAGACAGAGGUGAAAUCCCCGGGCUCAACCUGGGAACUGCCUUUGUGACUGCAUAGCUAGAGUACGGUAGAGGAGGAUGGAAUUCCGCGUGUAGCAGUGAAAUGCGUAGAUAUGCGGAGGAACACCGAUGGCGAAGGCAAUCCCCUGGACCUGUACUGACGCUCAUGCACGGAAGCGUGGGGAGCAAACA
rnacentral:rRNA from 1 species